CGUGAGACAGUUCGGUCUCUAUCUAUCGUGGGCGCAGGAGAUUUGCGAGGGUCUGACACUAGUACGAGAGGACCGUGUUGGACAGACCUCUGGUAAACCGGUUGUUCCGCCAGGAGCAUAGCCGGGUAUCUACGUCUGGUAAGGAUAAGCGCUGAAAGCAUCUAAGUGCGAAGCCAGCCUCAAGAUUAGAUCUCCAUAGAGGGUCGUUGUAGACGACAACGUAGAUAGGCUACAGGUGUAAAUGCAGUAAUGUAAAAGCCGAGUAGUACUAAUAGCCCGAAACUUUCCUUAC
rnacentral:rRNA from 1 species